rnacentral:tRNA from 1 species
GGUCUAUUGAGGUAAAGGCUAACCUGCCCGACUGUCUCUUGGGCACUGCGGGUUCGAUUCCCGCAUAGACCGC